rnacentral:rRNA from 1 species
CUAAUACCGGAUAACAACAGAUGAUGCCUAUCAACUUAGUUUAAAAGAUGGUUCUGCUAUCACUCUUGGAUGGACCUGCGGUGCAUUAGCUAGUUGGUAGGGUAACGGCCUACCAAGGCGAUGAUGCAUAGCCGAGUUGAGAGACUGAUCGGCCACAUUGGGACUGAGACACGGCCCAAACUCCUACGGGAGGCAGCAGUU